AGGGGUGGAAAUCGGACGGAUCGGAUCGGAUUUGGGUGUUUCGGAAAAUUUCCGAUUUUUUUCGGAAGGCUAAAAUGCCUUCCGAUUCCGAUUCCGAUUUUUUCGGAAUUCAAGAAUCGAUUCCGAUUCCGAUUUUUUCGGAAAUUUCGGAAAAUCGGAUUUUUUCGGAAUCCUUCAUUUUCGGAUUUUUCGGAAUUUCCGGAUUUAAAAAAGAAAAAAAAUGAAAACAGAAUAAAGGGCAGCGGGGCUGGUGCUCGUCGAGAGAACGAGAGCGGCGUGGCUGGAGCUCGAUGGAGAGAACGAGGGCGGCGGGGCUGGUGCUCAGCGGAGAGAACGAGGGCGGCGGGGCUGGUGCUCGGCGGAGAGAACGAGGGCGGUGGGGCUGGUUUUCGGUGGAGAGAAAGAGGGCGGCGCUGCCGGUGCAAAAGGUGGAGAGAAUGACGAGGGCAGCGCAGCGCUGGUGCUCGACGGAGAGGAAGAGGGCGGCGCUGGUGCUGACGGAGAGAAGAGGAGGCGCGGGUGGUGGUUGACGGAGAAUUGAGGGUGGUGUUGGUGGGAGAAAAGCAAAAGGCAGAGAGAAGAUAGUGGGGAGCGGCGUGAGGACUGGGGUGAGAAUGAGAGAGUAACUUCAAUUAGGGUUAGAAUUUAC
rnacentral:lncRNA from 1 species